rnacentral:tRNA from 1 species
GCUCCCAUCGUCUAGCCCGGUCAAGGACGCAGCCCUCUCAAGGCUGAAGCACGGGUUCAAAUCCCGUUGGGAGCG